GAUCAUGGCUCAGGACGAACGCUGGCGGCGUGCCUAACACAUGCAAGUCGAGCGGAGACAGUGAGUAGCUUGCUAUGAGCUGUUUUAGCGGCGGACGGGUGAGUAACGCGUGAGCAACCUUUCCCAGACAGGGGAAUAACACACCGAAAGGUGUACUAAUACCGCAUAAGACCACGGAAUCACAUGGUUCUGGGGUAAAAGAUUUAUCGGUUUAGGGUGGGCUCGCGUCCGAUUAGGUAGUUGGUGAGG
rnacentral:rRNA from 1 species